CUCCGUAGGUGAACCUGCGGAGGGAUCAUUACUGAGUUAGGGAGCAAUCCCGACCUCCAACCCUUUGUGAACACAUCUUGUUGCUUCGGGGGCGACCCUGCCGUUCGCGGCAUUCCCCCCGGAGGUCAUCAAAACACUGCAUUCUUACGUCGGAGUAAAAAGUUAAUUUAAUAAAACUUUCAACAACGGAUCUCUUGGUUCUGGCAUCGAUGAAGAACGCAGCGAAAUGCGAUAAGUAAUGUGAAUUGCAGAAUUCAGUGAAUCAUCGAAUCUUUGAACGCACAUUGCGCCCCCUGGUAUUCCGGGGGGCAUGCCUGUUCGAGCGUCAUUUCACCACUCAAGCCUCGCUUGGUAUUGGGCGUCGCGAGUCUCUCGCGCGCCUCAAAGUCUCCGGCUGAGCGGUUCGUCUCCCAGCGUUGUGGCAACUAUUUCGCAGUGGAGUUCGAGUCGUCGCGGCCGUUAAAUCUUUCAAAGGUUGACCUCGGAUCAGGUAGGGAUACCCGCUGAAC
rnacentral:rRNA from 1 species